UACGUAGGGCGCAAGCGUUAUCCGGAAUUAUUGGGCGUAAAGAGCUCGUAGGCGGUUUGUCGCGUCUGCCGUGAAAGUCCGGGGCUCAACUCCGGAUCUGCGGUGGGUACGGGCAGACUAGAGUGCGGUAGGGGAGACUGGAAUUCCUGGUGUAGCGGUGAAAUGCGCAGAUAUCAGGAGGAACACCGGUGGCGAAGGCGGGUCGCUGGGCCGUAACUGACGCUGAGGAGCGAAAGCGUGGGAGCGAACAGG
rnacentral:rRNA from 1 species